UACAGAGGGGGCAGGCGUUAUUCGGAAUUAUUGGGCGUAAAGGGCGCGUAGGCGGCUUUGCAAGUGACGGGUGAAAUCCCUCGGCUUAACCGAGGAACUGCCUGUCAAACUGCAUGGCUUGAGACCGGGAGAGGUGAGUGGAAUUCCCAGUGUAGCGGUGAAAUGCGUAGAUAUUGGGAGGAACACCAGUGGCGAAGGCGGCUCACUGGACCGGUACUGACGCUGAUGCGCGAAAGCGUGGGGAGCAAACAGG
rnacentral:rRNA from 1 species